AAGAUUAUUAUUUUCAAAUAGUUACUUUUCAGAUGCCUCCAAACAUGCUUUGGAUUGAUACACAGACCAUCUAAAUCCAAACAUGCACUAAGGGUGUGUUUGUUACACUUUGUUGUUUUGCAUUAUGAUGUUGCAUUAUAGUGUAUUAAGCUACAAUGCAAUAUCAUAUUUGGUGAAAUAUGAGCUAUGAUACAUGUAAUAAUAUUUUAUAUCAUUAUUUAUAUU
rnacentral:lncRNA from 1 species